rnacentral:lncRNA from 1 species
CUCGUCGUAAAACAAGUAUUGAUUCCAAAUAUAACAUAUUAUGUAUAGUAUGAAAAUAUUUACCGUAGCCAGCAAUAUCUCAAGAAUGUAAUACAUCACAAUAUUUCGCAAAUAAACACAUAACGCCUGGUAUCACAUAAUCUCUCAUAAACAAACAUAUCACAUCGAGUGCUCAUUGACAUAUGCUGACAUACAAGUUCAUGUAGAGAUAUCCUGAGAUGAACGGGACUGGGUGUAAUAAUGAUUUACUCUCUAGUCUUACAAUCACGUGAAGACUCACGUUAUGCACUUCACAUAUGAGUCCUAAUUGCCUAUAGCAAUUUAGGACAAGACUAGCACCUACAAUAGAUCCAAAGUGAGUGUGUAGUGCGAUGUGAACAUACACAUAAAGCCUGGCACUGGCGGAUGAGUACAAACACCAGUGUAGCAUGCAUGAUGAGUAGUAAUAUAAAUAUGAUCAUACUACAGAAAUUUCUUCAUUCACAAUUAUAAAAUAAUAAUAUUCAUGACUGAAAAUAUAUUUAUGGCGCCAUGUCAAAAUAUACAUAAACGUGCAUCCCGUAGAAUUCAUGAGAAUUUCAAAAAUUUCGUCAAUAUGCUAAUUAGGCCUGGCAAUUCCUGACACGACACGAUAACCCGACACGACACGACACGAAAUUAACAGGUGUUCGGGUCGACACGAUAACGAAUCGGGUCGUUAUCGGGUAACCCGAUAAACACCUAUUAAGAUAACGGGUUGAUUCGGGUAUACACGUGGGUAAUACGAUACACGAUAAACAGAAUAUUAAUUUUAUAAUUUUAUAACCCUAAAAAAAUAUUGUAAUAAUUAUAUAUAUUAAUUUAACAAUUUUAUACCCCUAAAAACUAUAAUAAAUAUCUAUAUAUAUAUAUAUAUAUAUAUAUAUAUUAAAUUAACUAUAAUAAUUAUAAUAAUUAUAUAUACUAUAAUAAUUAUACCCCAAAAUAUUAACUAUCUAUAAUAAUUAUAUAUAUAUAUAUAUAUAUAUAUUAAAUUUUUAAUUAUAAAAACUAUAAUGAUUAUUAAUUAAUAUGUAUGCAUCCAUUGAUUUGAAUUUUGAUUCCAUAAUUGAUCCAUUCCAUUCCCUGCUACAGUGACGCCCUUUUUGAAGAAAAAGGGAGGGAAAAUGAAAAUGAUAAGAAAAGUUGAAAAGGAAACAAAAAAGAGAGGGAAUUAGGGAAAGAUGGAUGGAUAGGGUGGAGGGAAAAGUGAAAAUUAUAUGAAAAGUUGAAAAGGAAACAAAAAAGAGAUGGAAAAAUGAAAAUUAAUAGAAGUGCAGUGGUGAGAAUAUUUUUUUUUUAAGUUAUUGACUUUUUAUCGCACAUGAUAUAUCCCACUAUUUUUAUAAUGAGACGUGAUGUACUACUCUGUGUACCGGUCAAUUAUACAUACAAAAUAAAUAGAUUUAAAUCUACUUAAUAUAUAUAUAUAUACACACACACACACACACACACACACAUACACCAUUGAACUUGAUGGGAUAUGAAUUCUCCAAAACAAAUUUCAACGAUCACAACCGUAAAACUUGUUUGUAAAUGCUUUGAGAUCACAUCACCAAAAAAUCACAAAAAACAAACAUUCAUAGAUCAAGUAACGGGACAAAUCUUUUUGACGAUUAUAAACGAAAAAUCACGAUUUAACGGUUAUUUUAACUCCGAUUUUGAUGAUUUUUUACAGCUACACUCCUUGACCCUAUAUGAAUACAAAGAAUAAAUUCGAUCUUCAAUUUAAAAUAUUUACACAAGUGGAUACCACAAAAUCUUAUGUUAUACUUAAUGAAAGUAUAAAUAAACUCUAAGUGUUAGUUGUUUUGAUGGGAUACAAAUUCUCUGAAACUAAUUUCAACGAUCUCAACCGUCAAACUUGUUUGUAUAUGCUUCGAGAUCACAUCACCAAAAAAUCACAAAAAACAAACAUUUAGAGAUCAAGUAACGGGACAAAACAUUUCGACGGUUAUCAACAAAAAAUCACGAUUUAACGGUUAUUUUAACUCCGAUUUUGAUAAUUUUUUACAGCUACACUCCUUGACCCUAUAUGAAUACAAUGAAUGAAUUCGAUCUUCAAUUUAAAAUAUUUACACAAGUGGAUACCACAAAAUCUUAUGUUAUACUUAAUGAAAGUAGAAAUAAACUCUAAGUGUUAGUCAAUCUAUUGUUUUGAUGGGAUACGAAUUCUCCGAAACUAAUUUCAACGAUCCCAACCGUCAAACUUGUUUGUAUAUGCUUCGAGAUCACAUCACCAAAAAAUCACAAAAAACAAACAUUUAGAGAUCAAGUAACGGGACAAAACUUUCCGACGGUUAUAAACGAAAAAUCAUGAUUUAACGGUUAUUUUAACUCCGAUUUUGAUGAUUUUUUACAGCUACACUCCUUGACCCUAUAUGAAUACAAAGAAUGAAUUCGAUCUUCAAUUUAAAAUAUUUACACAAGUAGAUAACACAAAAUCUUAUGUUAUACUUAAUGAAAGUAUAAAUAAACUUUAAGUGUUAGUCAAUCUAUUGUUUUGAUGGGAUACGAAUUAUCCGAAACUAAUUUCAACGAUCCCAACCGUUAAACUUGUUUGUAUAUGCUUCGAGAUCACAUAAGCAAAAAAUCACAAAAAACAAACAUUCAGAGAUCAAGUAACGGGACAAAACUUUUCGACGGUUAUAAAACGAAAAAAUCACGAUUUAACGGUUAUUUUAACUCCGAUUUUGAUGAUUUUUUACAGCUACAGUCCUUGACCAUAUAUGAAUACAAAGAAUGAAUUUGAUCUUCAAUUUAAAAGAUUUACACUAGUGGAUGUGGAUAUCACAAAAUCUUAUGUUAUAUACUUAAUAAAAGUAUGAAUCAACUAUAAUAAUUAUAUAUAUUAAUUUAACAAUUGUAUACCCCUAAAAACUAUAGUAAUUUAUAAUAAUAUAAUAUAUAUAUUAAAUUAAAUUUAAAAAAUUGAUGACCAUUUGGAUCGGCUGAGAUUUAAUCUUUUGAGAAAGACUUACAACCUUGAAAACAAAAACUCUUUCAUUUUGCAUAUCCUUGCACAUUUAAUAUUUGUAAUAGAUUAGUAGUGUAUGUAUUAUUUUUUUAUUAGGCUCUUAUUUUCGAGUGUAGUUAUAGUACUUAAAUGACAAAUGUUUUAAUGUUUUGAAGUAAUAUUUAUGUGGCAAUAUGUGGUAUGUGCAAAUUAAAAAAUAUAUAUUUUUUUCUUAACGGGUCAUAACGGGUCGGGUCACUUUACCCGUUGGGUAAAGUGACACGACCUGUUAAGGACCCGUUAAGAUAACGGGUGUGACACGACACGACCCGUUAAGAUAACAGGUGUUACAUGAAAACGACACGAACACGACAGACACGACCCGUUUGCCAGGCCUAAUGCUAAUUCUUAAAGCGUUGGUCUAAUCAAGAUAUAUUGUAGAGAAUUCUUUAUUAAGCAUAUAUGGAAACUAAAUAUAUAUAUAUAUAUAUAUAUAUAUAUAUAUAUAUAUUUAAAAGCAAAGACCCACUCACAAAUCAUGUCGUCGGUUAAUAAAUGAACUAUUUUAAAACGAUCAAAUUUUGGAAAACGGAGGGCGGAUUCGGAUUCAGCACGUCAAGAAACCUAAGGAGGGACCUUGGGUUCCUUCACGUGCCACCACCCGCCGACCACCCUCACGCAUCUACGCGCCCGCAAGUACGUUUUCCAGAUUUUUGCAGGUUUUUCUCUAACUUCCAAAACUCAUUUCGAGCUUGAUACUUAACCAAAAUCAAUGAUUCAAAAUCCUAAAUGAAGUUAGAAAUGUAGGGAAUAGAGAUCUAUACCCAUUUGAGGUCGUAACAUUGUCGGAUUGGCUGGAAAAAUGGCCUGAAGAUGGCUUGAUAACCACAGUUCAUUUUUCAAAAAUUUGGGUAAGUCCUUUUCCAAGAUGUAUAAUAAGGCAUUAGAUCACCCCCCAAAUGUCAUAUUUAAGGUUAAAAACACCACCAAGAGUUCAAACUAAGAAGGAUUUGAGGUUUGGGGUCCCGAGGAUUACCUUGAUUUUGCACUGUAAAAUGUUGCCGUGUAAAAGGGUGAUGGUGUCACCGUACCUGCGUGUGCAUAGUGAAUGAGAUAAAGAGUUGAAAUAGAGGGUCCAAUGUGUGGCCUUGGAUUCCUCUGUGUUUUCACAUAGAAGAAGUGAAGAUGGAGACUUGUUAUGGUUGGCUAUAGAGUAUGGUAAGGAUUGAUGGUGUUGGGGUGGUAAUCUGCACUUACAAAGAGCGAUACGAGAGUUGAGAGGGAAAGGAGAGUGUGGGAGAUGACAGAAAACAAUGAGGGGAAAUGAGAAAGUGAGAAAGAUGAGAGUUAGUGAGAGAGGGAUCCAAGAAAGUUUGAGAGAAAAUGAGAGGUUAAGACAGUGAGAGAAGACACGGCUAUGAGGGGAAGGAGUGAUGUGGGCCCCACUUGGCACAUAGCACAAAGUCACAAAAGACAAUACAGAAAAAUAUCUCCAGUAAACGUGAAUUUACCAAAAUGCCAUUCACGCUCUGAAAUUCGUAAAAUCUUCAUCGUAACUUCGAAUUCAAUUCUGCUUAUGCCUACGCGUUCAUAUCGUCGAGUACUUCAAGAAUAUGCUAAAAUAAUAGCUUAUAUGCGUUAAGACAUAAUAGUCAACAAAAGUUAACAAUCUCACAUCUAGGGGCAUUCUCAUCAAAUCACACAUUUAAAAUUAAUAAAGUCAUAAAUUUUGGAACAAUUUUUUACAAUCUACCUAGCCAACUCCCGCAAAAGAUUUAUGCCGCAAAGAAAAAAGGAAGAUUAUCUCGUGAAUUCCUAGCUCAAACCUUCCUAAACCCUCACGUCUACCCCAUUUCACUACCUAGCCAACUCCCGCAAAAGAUUUAUGCCACAAAUUCCUGAAAACCGGCUUUUUCCAUUUUUUUCUCAAACCGUCCUUUCCUCAUCGAUCUCGUAAACCCCACAAGAACGACAUAGGUGGUCUCGCCUCCAUCGUAUCCUUCUUCUUGCCGCCGUCUCCUUUCUCUCAUCGAUUGUUGGGUCAUCUCCUCUUGUGACUCUAUUAGUGUUACUCCACUUUAGUGCUUAGCAAUUUAGAGUUUUGUAGCACUUUUGGCUUUUCCAUCGUAAAAAUUGAUUCUUUAAUUUUUUUUGCAUAGCUUAAGAUUGUACGACCCAUAAGUGAUGGACAGACCAGAUGGAUCCAUGGAUGGACGAAACCCUGAAUGAGACUCUUGUUAGCCGCCCAAAGAACCUACCCGAAAAGUAAGGCUUCAAAUUUAGGUUGUGUUGCAAAUCUGUGUGUGAUUUUGGUACUCCAUUUCUGGGUGGAUAAUUUAGAGAGGAGCCGUGGUGGUCCUUCUUGGACCGCCUGAAUCCCAUAAGUGAAUAGAAAGUUGGAUCAACAUUAAUAAAUAGUUCAAACCCCGGUUUGAACAUAAAGAAGCACACCAUGCUAAUAUUCCUUGGAUGAUCCACAUCUCAGGGACAAGCACUGAUGAGCACAUUGAACUAUCCAUGUAGUUUAGAGCCUUCACAGCCCAGGCACACUCAAUGAAUCAUUAGGGUUCGUUUUCAAUAGAAUCUUAUGCAUUCAUAGGUUCUGUCAUUUCCACCACUUCUCAAUUAAUGAUUAGGUUUGAAUUUUACAGCGGAGCCUCCAAUUAAAUUUAUUCUUGAGUCAACCUUCUCAUUCCUUAUUGGCUCGGGGCUCUUGAUUUUUUGUUUAAUGCACGGAUUUGUCUAAUUAUGGAUCAAUCAAUAUUGAUGCUUUAUUACAUUACCUUUAUAUGAGAUGACUCAUAGACCUUACAUAUUGGAAUUAUAUAUCAUAUUAAUAUUAUUUUUCUAUCUUUCUCUCACCCUUCCAUUUAUCUGUAUAUUUAAUAUUGCUUUACAACCCAUAAUAUGUUGCUUUACAACACUCAACUCUCUUUUCUAGGUUCAUCGAUAUUGAAUCAAUCGAACGCACCUGUAAAACCUGUUCAACUUUUGGAAGGCCUUACGUUAUAUCACCGGAUCUAGAUUUUUCAUAUAGAAAUGUAAUGAAUUUAUCUAUUACUAUAUCUCUAGAGUCAAUAAUUUUAUACGAGAAACUACUAAACUAAAUCACUUGCUGCCGUUACUCUUCUUCAGUUUUAUGUUGAGGUCUAUCUUGUAGAGCUACUCAAAUUGGAUCAAUGAUCAAUCUCUAGGUUUCGUCAUAAACCUAAUUGGUUACUUCCAAAUACAUACAUCAAUAGUUUCAAACCACACUCAAAGGUAGGGCAUUUCCCAUUUUUAUAUAGGAACUUCUAUACCAGAAACAAUGGCAUCUUCAAUUAUAGCCCCUCUGGGAUGUAAAUAUAUCCAUCUGAUGCAUCCAUUAUGGUUAUUUCAUACCCCACCCUUUUUCUUUUUGUAUUAUUUUGCUUACUAUACCUGCUGCUGUAGCAUUAUAAACAUUCGUUGUAAAGUAACAUUCUAUAUUCACGUGUCUCAAACAAGAGAAAUAAACAAACUUAAAACUAUUCAUAUAUAUAUAUAUAUAUAUAUAUGAAUCCGCACAAAUAUGUUCUCUAUGGUAACUGGAUUCAUGAAUUAAACAAGUGGGCUAGGCAAAAUUGUGCUAAAUUUUCGUAUGCGGCAAUUCUGCCAAUAUCUCUUCUUUAGUUAGGAGAAGAAUCCGCACGAAUUGGAUUUUUUUAGGAACAUAUCAAGAGUGAAUUGGUUGAUUAUGUUUUGCCUUUUGCUUGGAGAAAGAAUAUCAUACGAUUCCCAAUCAUGGUCUUUGCGGAUUGGAUCGUCCAUAUAACAUACAAAAAGAAACUCUAGAUAUUUCAUAUCUUUCUCUUUGAAUCAGAUCUCAAUUCCAGUGAAAGGAUUCAUUAGAUAUCUUACAACUAGAAGCCCUCUUUUUACUUGCUUUUGAAGGACAUUUAAACGUUUAUUUUCAAACUUACAAUGGCAAAAAAAGUAGUUCGUUCGCUGAUGAGCACAAUGAACUAUCCAUAUGGCUGAGAGCCCUCACAGCCCAGGCACAAUGAUGCAAUUAUCAAGGGUGCGCUCUACCACCAAGCUAAUAGCCCGCCUUGCGGGCCUCCCAUUGGGGGCCCGUUAUGCCAAAAGCGAGAGAAACCCAUCCCCUCUCUUUCCUUUUUCACACCCCCAAGUUGCCACACAAAAUGGGAGCAGGUUUGAAAAAGGAUCUUAGAGUGUCUAGGGUUAGGCCAAGAAGGUCUUAACGCCUUCUUUUUUCUACUCGAGCUUCAUCAUGUAUUAUUUACAUGGCAACACUCUAAAAAAUGAGGGUUCCAGUGGAACAGAACAAAUGAUGUUGAGCCAAGAGCACUUUCGUUCCUAUAUAAUAUAAAAAAAGUGGUGGAUGUAAAAAUCCACAGCUGAUCAAGUCCUUCAAGUCGCACGUUACUUUUCUACCACAUUGUUUUGAACGAAGUUCUACCCUAACAUUUCUUCAGUGUACUGGUUGUUCAUCAACUCAAGUAUAAAUAUUUUAUUAUCUAUAAAAAUAUAUUACUAGAAUUUUUAUACAUGUAGACGUAAAAUUAAACAGAUUUUAUUCAUCAUUACAUAUAAUUCAACUAAGAUAUUGUAUGAAAGUAUGGUUUUUAUUAUGUUCUCUUUUGAUUUGAGAAUUGAAGGAUUUUUUAUUGGGUGAGUUCAAAUCAAAGAAAGUUUUUUGGUCUAUCUUAUUUUCUUUUUAUUCAAUUUUCUUUUCUAUGAAUAAUAACAUAUUUAUAAUAAUAAAAAUACUAAAAAACUCAAUUUAUUAAUAACUCAAUCAAAAUAAAUAAAAUACAAUUAUCCUCAAGAACAAAAUGUGCAACAACCCUUCCUAGUUGAUAGAAAAGGAUCCCAUGAUCCUGAACCGAUCUUACUUGGGAUCGCAAAUCCCAAGUUUGUCUAUGAAGAGCAUAUCUAAUUAUAUUAGUGUCUAUAAUUGAUUUCUUCUGUGUAAUACUAAUCGAUAGAAACCGGUUCAAAUCAAGUUCCUGGCACAUGAAUAAUUUGUAUGAGUAUAUAUUCUAAAAAUUAAUUGAUAUGGGUCGAUAUACAUAUUCAUUAAUAGUAUAAAUCAUGAUACAUAUUUAUCCAGCUAAAUGUCAGAGAUAUACCCCUUAUAUAUAUCAUAUGUAUAUAAAGUAUACAAAAGAAUUCCAUUUUGAUUCCUCUUGUUUUUUUAUUUGUCCAUACUAUGUCUCCUCUUGUUCAAAAAGAACAUUAAUAAUUUAUACAUAUUCGAAAGGCUAAAUUAGUUAGUUGAAAGAGAAAAAAGUAUAGUCUAGAGGAGUUGAGGGAUGGGUAUAGACAAAGUUCAUUUCAGAUACAGUACAAAUAGAAUAUGAUCAUCUUUCAUUUCCUUCUAUAUUUUUUUUCAUAUCCUAUUUCUUUCAUUACCUCCUAUGUUACUUUCUAUAGCCCAAUUAAGUGAUGUGUGUGGUACAUAGUUCAUAAUGCAGAACUCUCUAGCUUUCGUCUAUCAGUGUCAAUGUCGGCCUAGCAGAGUGCUUUUGCCGUUGGUGUUGUCUUUCCGAUCUCUAUGCAUUUCACCGCUCCACGGGAAAUUCCCUCUAACCCUACCAUACUCCAGCUUGGUAGUUUCGACCGCCUAUCCGAUGGAUGUCAAGUGGUUGAUAUUAUCCUCAAGGACUAAAACUUCUUGUUUCAGAGGGCGAAUCCGUCAAACUUGAUCAACCAUUAACGAGUAAUCCUAAUUUGGGUGGAUUUGGUCAAGGAGAUAUGGAAAUAGUACUUCCAGAUCCAUUCCGUGUGUAAUACUAAUCGAUAGGGCCUCAUUGGUAAGUGCUACAAGAUCUCGUACAUUGGAACCCAUGGUUAUGGACCCGAAUCCAUGAGUAUGGAACAUUUUCUUUUGCAAGUGAAAUCCCCUAGUAUAUGAAAAAUCUUGGGUGAGUUUUUCAAUGGCUUGGACACUUCGAUUCGGUUGUUGCGGUUGAGGCAUUGAAGCCCAGUUUUUGCAACAUUUACCCCCAAAUCGAUUGUUUAACGGAUAGGUAUUUUCUUUGGCUUGGUUGCUGAGAAAAUGAAAUUGGGCUGUUAUAGUUAUCUCGAUUUUUUGUCUUAAUUGGACGACAGUGAUCCUGACAUGGCAAAUUCUCUUCUUGAUGUUGCAUGUUCCUCGGUUUGAAUUGAUUGAAUGGCAGAUGACUGAAAAAUACAGUCGCAUCACCACGGAAAAUGAGUUGUCCAGUGUGAGCAUAAUCCAAGGAGGUAAUCUCACUGUCAAAGAAUAUUUAUGAAUGACUCUCCCAGCACUGAAAUUGAAAACCUGAAAAUGAGCUGUUCAGUGUGACUCUCCCGAUUAAUUCAGAGCGAUGCUUUUUAGUGUAGUUUGAUGACUUUAAUCACUGAACCCUCUUGCAGAUACAUGGGUGGUUACAUUCACUAGGGUUGAUCAUGAGAUUAGUGAAGAGGCUGAAUUGGAAAUGGAGGAAGAGGAGCUUCUUCUAAUGUUGUCAGUUUCUGCCAUUUUAGUUUAUUAGAAGCAGCUUUGCAGUAAUUUGCUGCGUAGUUUGUGUUUAAGUAUAGUCAGAAUGUUAAAUGUUCCAUCUCUGGUAGUUAGUUCCAUUUAAUUUAUAAACAUGUCCUGCAAAGCAUUCAGAUUCACUUUCAUGUACGCAUGAUUUAUUUUGGCUUCUUUAUAUGUUUUCACAUUUCUCAUUAUUUCAUCAUAGAUGGAUUCGUAGUGGUUUACCGUAAUGGUUGUUUAGUGCCUCUGCAGGUUUGGACUUUAAGGAAUUCGUACAGGGACACCAGUAGUGGUUUGGUUGUGGUUGAUGUAAAAAACGUUCUCGCAUGCGCAUGAGCGCGUGUACAAAUAUUAGGUUCAUAGGAGGCUUCCAUUGCACGUUAAUUGUAGUGGUUUGAUUGUGGUUUUUCUUUUCUGCAGGUUUUUCUUCUCUUAACAUAUCAAAUAAAUCAAUUGAUAGAUUAGGCUUUCUUAUGGUGCUUAUCUCCUCCGUCUUCAUCAAAUUUGGUGCUUAUGUUGGUUUUGUAUAUAUUUCAUGUGUUCAUAUCCUUUAUGUGCAGCGCAUUGAUGAUAUUUAAAGCUCAAAAAGGAAUAAAGGGUCGAAAAAAAUAUCAAUUGGAAAGUAGUUAAGGUAAGAAACAUUGUGUUUUCACUUUAAAUUAAUCUAAUUAAGUUACAUUGUAUACGUUUUUAUUUCUAUAUGCAGUGCCUUUUGCAAGAAGAAAUUGUAGAAUGUAAUGACGGUGGUUUUUCGAUGUAGUUUCGCCUUCUUAUUAGUUUUUGUCGUGACACAUUUCCUUUGUUGUGAUUUGUUGCAGUUCAAAGAAAAAGCUACAUACACUCAACAAAAAAUUGAUACAUUAAGAAUAGAGUGGGCUGAGCAUGUUGAUGACUUCAUCCCAAUAAAUAUUCAAUGACGCUGCAAAUGAUUUCAAUGCUACAGUACAUGACGCUAUGUAGAUGUCAUGUUUAGUAUACCAUGACACUCAUUCCUUUGUUUGUGACACAUAUUCCGCGUCUCAAAUUGAAAUGGAUGACACGCUUUCUUAAUUCAAUGAAGCUUGUUAGAUGUCAUUAGAAGUUGUACAUGACACUAUGCGUAUGUCAUGUUUAGUAUACCAUGACGCUCAUUCAUCUGUUUAUGACACUUAUGACGCGUUUUAAAUGGUAAUAGAUGACACAAGUUCUUAAUUCAAUGACGCUUGUUAGGCGUCCUUAGAAGUAAUACAUGACACUCUUUCAACAUCAUAGAAAUCUUGAAUGACACCCACAAAGAUGAUGCUAAACCCUUGUGUCAUUAAACUUUUAACAUGACCCAUAAACUGCAUCAUGUAUGUAAAAAUUUGUAGUAGGGGCAUCUCGCUACAAUGGUAGCUUUUUGGAUAUUCAAUCACCAACGGUAAAGAUUCGUUUAGAGUAUUUGUUGGGUGAUUGAGGAAUUAAUGGUCACAACUACAAAAUUCAAUGUCCAAGCAAUUCUCCUAGACGUCUGCUUAAAAAAAACGAAGUACAAUAGGGUAAACACAUUCCCAAGGUUGACUGGAAUGCCUUCCAACACAAAGAGGUGACUGUGGAAUCGUGGUCAAAGUAGAUGUCGGUUGAAACGCUAGAAAAUCCGAAAAAUUCAAGAAUGAGAAAUUUUACUAAGUGGUCUAAAAUGUAGUCCCUCUGGACCAACAGAAAAUAAGAUGACUUAUCGAGUCGGUCGAUAAUCGCUGAAACAUCAUCAUAAUCUCCACAUGUACAAGAUACCUGGUACCGGGUGGUGAUAUUUCCCAAUCUCCAUUUCGGAUACAGGAAGUGAUUAUAACCACUCGAGCGAUUUCUUGAUGAUUUGUAAGUAAUAUCAUAUCAAUGCUCGUGAAUUCCAACUGAAUAGGGAUAAGAUAGGCUGAAAGUGAUCAAGCGUAUAUGUGUCGUUUAUUGAUGUCAUCAAUAAUUACAUUUGCACAAACUACGUAAUACACGAUGGUGCAAACGUAGGCGUUGAUUUGGUUAUUCCAUCGUCACUGUCAGAAAUUUAGUUCCUUUUAAAUGAAGAUGUAUUUGAGAAGUUUGUGAGGUUGAUAAAGAUUUUGACACAUUUCUCCAAGGAGAAGUGUCAUCGGAUUUUCAAGUAAAGAAGGUAAUCAUUGACUAUAGGUUGGGAGUAACGUAGUUCACUUCAUGCGUUCCAACAAUCGGGAGAUAUAAGCGAUACAUGUCACACUACAUCAGCACGCAUCCAAAACAUUCAAUGAAACAUCACUGUAGAGCUUAAAAUUAUCAAUGUCAUCAGAAAAUGUAAGAAUAAUGGUCGAGUGAGACAACACUAGAGUUGUCAAAAACUUUAUUCACAUUCAACGUCUUAAACAAAACUAACUUUCCUCAGUCGACUCAUGAGGAAAAACGAUAUAGCUGAAAAAUCGUUAACAAACAGCCGAUAGCAAUCGUCAAAACAAAUGAUAUUUCAUAUUUCACAACACUUUGUGAGGAUUUCAAUUUUCUUCAACUACAACCUUUUAGGAAAAUGAAAAGAAUAUCCUCAGCUAAGAUCAUGUUUCCAGGAAAGUACCUGAUCUAAACAAAGUUAACAUUGGAAAGAACUUGGUAUGAUGGUGAUUGCUGGUGUUUAGAAAAUUUGAUCUCGUUGUUGGAGUAGGUGAGAAAGUCAUCAGCAAGACUACUAUGAAUUCGUAAGGCUACGGAAGAAAACUCGGUUCUAAAAGUUGGUUGGAGAGACCAUCAAUUCGAAGUAUGGGUUAACGAUUUUAAUCGUCACCUGAUGGAGUUGCUAAAAUCUAGGUACGAUCUUAAGGUUCAGUCUUUCGCCUUCGCGGUUUGGUUUAAGGUUCCCUAGAUAAAGGGUUGGGUUGCAUCAAUCCUUAAUUGGUCUGCUUUUGUAACUAAGUUUUCUCAAUGAUGUAGGAGUCGUUCGAUAAGAUGCAAGCAGAAUAGGUGUUGUAUUAGAAAGUAGGUCGAUGGUGUACUUUACUCCCCGCAUUGGUAGUAUCCCAGGUAAAUUUUAAGAAGUGAAGCUAGAGAUAUGCAUCCUCGAAAUGUCUCGAAAUGUACAAUACUACUUCCUCUCUCUACGACAUUUACUAAAAUGUCUUCACAGCUUUCUCGAUACUCAAUUCGCUCUUACAUCGGGAAUUAAACACGUGCUUUAGUUCUAAUGUUCGUCUGUAGAAGUGACCUUAGGGAUAAUUGGUCGAAAAUGUUCUAACAGGUACUGCCACGAAAUCAAAACUAUUUACGGUUUCCUAUCUCAGACGGGUUGGUAAUGAUGACCGGAUAGCCCUACUUCAGGGGCAUCAACUUGUCUCUAAUCUAAAUCUUUCCUUGGCAACAAAAUUCUUCACUUAAAGUCUAAAGGCGCUUACCAAAAUGAUCUUCUAGAAUGUCGAUCAGUCGUCUAAAUUGCCUAAAAUUUAGGAAAAGCUAACACGUUUUUCGUGCUCGACGAGGUGGCAAGAUUCGCAAAUUAUCUUCAAGAACUGAAAAUGGUUACAUCAUGUGUGUGAUGAAAGCAAUACUGCCCAAACUUAUGCUCUGAUACCAAACUGACACACCCCGAUCCUGAAUGUCCAUCUAAACUCUGAAUCGAGCUGUUCUGGUCGACACCAAGAUGGUGACAAAGGCAUAAAGCGUAAUGAUGUGGAAAAUGUGAGUAAAUUUAAACAUAUAAGUGACUAAAUACAAGAGUGCGCAUGUGAGAGGGAUUGAACGUAUUUCACACGUGAUGUCAGAGCAUAAGUAAAGUACAGUAAAAGCAGGAUAAGAAUUCUACCACUGGAAAUAGUCUCAUAUACUAAGUUUUUGACAUGAAUCCUCGUUGACACAAAAGCACUGCCAUUAAAAUGUUGAGGGGCGAAAAACAAGGGUAAGUGGGCCUAAAAUUAAAGUUUGAAAAACCUUUUCGAAAACGUAAUAACCUAUCGUCGUAAAACAAGUAUAGUUUCCAAAUAUAACAUAUUACGCAUAGUAUGAAAAUACUUACUGCAACCAACAAUAUCUCAAGAAUACAAUACAUCCCAAUAUUUCGUGAAUAAACACAUAACAUAUGGUAUCACAUAAUCUUGCAUAAACAAACAUAUCAUAUCGAGUGCUCAUCAACAUAUGUUGACACAAGAGUCCAUGUAGAGAUAUUAUGAUAUGAACAGGACUGGGUGUAACAAUGAUUUAAGCUCUAGUACGAGUCCUAAUUGCCUAUAGCAAUCUAGGACACAAUUGGCACCUAUAAUGGAUCCAAAGUGAGCUUGCGGUGUGAUGUGAACAUACAUGUGAAGCCUAGCUCUGGCCAAGGCGAGUACAAACACCAAUGUAGCAUGCAUGAUGAGUGGUAAUAUAAAUAUGAUCAUAAUACGGAAAUUUCUUCAUUCACAACAAUAAAAUAAUAAUAUCAUGACCGUAAAUAUAUUUAUGGCAUCACGUCAAAAUAUGCAUAAACAUCCAUCCCGUAAAAUUCAUGAGAAUUUCAUAAAUUUCGUCAAUAUGCUAAUUCUUAAAGCGUUGGUCUAAUCAAGAUAUAUUGCAGGAACUUCUUUAUUAAGCAUAUAUGGAAAUCAUGCCAUCAGGUCAACCCCACCUCGUAAGCAUCGAAGAUCUUUGCAAUGUGUUUCUCCUAGAAACGAAACCAUUCACAUACAUAUAUAACAAAUUAACGUAAAUACGUAUUUUCGUACAAAUUACAGUUAAUAAAGGAACUAUUUUAAAACAAGCGAAUUUCAAAAAAUGGCGAGCAGAUUCAGCACAUCGAGAAACCUAAGGAGGAACCUCGGGUUCCUUUACGCGCCGCCGCAUCCGCUGCCAUGCAUCACCACAAUGUGGCUGUAUAGCCAGCCAAGCACCGCAUGCGCCGACCACCCUCACGCGUCCACACGCCUAUGAGUACAAUUUUACUCUCUUUCCUUACGAGUUUCCAGAUUUUUGCAGGUUUUUCUCUAACUUCUAGAGCUCAUUCCGAGCUUGAUACUUAACCAAAAUCGAUGAUUCAAAAACCUAAAUGAAGUUAGAAAUGUUAAGAAUAGAUCUAUACCUUUAAGGUCGUGACAUGGCCGGAGUUAGCCGGAAAAAUGGCCUGAAUAUGGCUUGACGGCCACGGUUCAUUUUCCAAAAAUCUAGGGAAAUCCUUCCCCUAGAUGCUUUAUGCAUUAGAUCACCUCCAAAUCUCAUAGUUAAGGUUAAAAACAUCACUAAAGGUUCAAGCUAAGUAGGAUUUAAGGUUGAGGGUCCCAAGGAUUAACUUAAUUGUGCACUGUAGAAUGUUGCCGUGUAAAAGGGCGAUUAUGUCACCCUACCUGCGUCUACGCAGUGAUAUAGAUAAAGAGCUGAGGCAAAGGGUCCAGUGUGUGGUCUUGGAUUCCUCAGUGUUUUCACAAAGAAGAAGUGAAGAUGGCAACUUGUAUGGUUAGCCGGAGAGUAUGGUGAGGAUUGAUGGUGUUGGGGUGGUAAUUUUCACUUGUAAAGAGAGAGAUGAGAGUUAAGAGGGAAGGGAGAAUCUAAGAGAUAUAGAAAACAAUAAGGGGAAAUGAGAAAGUGAGAAAGAUGAGAGUUAGUGAGAGAGGGAUCCAAGAGAGUAUGAGAGAAAAUGAGAGGUUGAGAUAGUGAGAAAAGACACGAGAAUGAGGGGAAGAGUGGUGUGGGCCCCACUUGGCACACAACACAAAGUCGCAAAGACAAUACAGAAAAAUAUCUCCCGUAAACGUGAAUUUACCAAAAUGCCCUUCACACUCCGAAAUUCAUAAAAUCUUCGUUGUAACUUCGAAUUCAGUUCCG